GUCUAGAGCCAUACCACCCUGAAUGUGCCCGAUCUCAUCUGAUCUCAGAAGCUAAGCAGGGUCGGGCCUGGUUAGUACUUGGAUGGGAGGUAUCUGUUACCAUAAAACACAGACUGUUCAUUAUAGAUA
rnacentral:rRNA from 1 species